rnacentral:rRNA from 1 species
CGUGGGUAACCUGCCCUGUACACAACGGAUAACAUACCGAAAGGUAUGCUAAUACGAGAUAAUAUGCUUUUAUCACAUGGUAGAAGCAUCAAAGCUUUUGCGGUACAGGAUGGACCCGCGUCUGAUUAGCUAGUUGGUAAGGUAACGGCUUACCAAGGCGACGAUCAGUAGCCGACCUGAGAGGGUGAUCGGCCACAUUGGAACUGAGACACGGUCCAAACUCCUACGGGAGGCAGCAGUGGGGAAUAUUGCACAAUGGCGAAAGCCUGAUGCAGCAACGCCGCGUGAGCGAUGAAGGCCUUCGGGUCGUAAAGCUCUGUCCUCAAGGAAGAUAAUGACGGUACUUGAGGAGGAAGCCCCGGCUAACUACGUG